UUGAACGCUGGCGGCAGGCCUAACACAUGCAAGUCGAACGGUAACAGGGAUCAGCUUGCUGAUUCGCUGACGAGUGGCGGACGGGUGAGUAAUGUCUGGGAAACUGCCUGAUGGAGGGGGAUAACUACUGGAAACGGUAGCUAAUACCGCAUAACGUCGCAAGACCAAAGAGGGGGACCUUCGGGCCUCUUGCCAUCGGAUGUGCCCAGAUGGGAUUAGCUAGUAGGUGGGGUAACGGCUCACCUAGGCGACGAUCCCUAGCUGGUCUGAGAGGAUGACCAGCCACACUGGAACUGAGACACGGUCCAGACUCCUACGGGAGGCAGCAGUGGGGAAUAUUGCACAAUGGGCGCAAGCCUGAUGCAGCCAUGCCGCGUGUAUGAAGAAGGCCUUCGGGUUGUAAAGUACUUUCAGCGGGGAGGAAGGGAGUAAAGUUAAGACCUUUGCUCAUUGACGUUACCCGCAGAAGAAGCACCGGCUAACUCCGU
rnacentral:rRNA from 1 species